GACGAACGCUGGCGGCGUGCUUAACACAUGCAAGUCGAACGGAAAGGCCCUGCUUUUGUGGGGUGCUCGAGUGGCGAACGGGUGAGUAACACGUGAGUAACCUGCCCUUGACUUUGGGAUAACUUCAGGAAACUGGGGCUAAUACCGGAUAGGAGCUCCUGCUGCAUGGUGGGGGUUGGAAAGUUUCGGCGGUUGGGGAUGGACUCGCGGCUUAUCAGCUUGUUGGUGGGGUAGUGGCUUACCAAGGCUUUGACGGGUAGCCGGCCUGAGAGGGUGACCGGCCACAUUGGGCCUGCGAUCCGGCCCAGCCUCCUACGGGAGGCAGCGGUGGGGAAUAUUGCACAAUGGGCGGAAGCCUGAUGCAGCAACGCCGCGUGCGGGAUGACGGCCUUCGGGUUGUAAACCGCUUUCGCCUGUGACGAAGCGUGAGUGACGGUAAUGGGUAAAGAAGCACCGGCUAACUACGUG
rnacentral:rRNA from 1 species